CCUCUCAACCAUAAUCCCUUCGUUCCUACGCCCCCAAGCCCCCCUCUGCUUCUCCUUCUUCUGCGUCGCCGCCGCCGCCGCCGGCCCAUCGCCGCCUGCCCGCCGCCCUCCUUCCUCAUCCGGUCCUCCCUCACCGGAUCUGUGCCCUGGAGGAGUCCACAGAUCAUCACUGCCCGCUCACAGACACGAAACGGGCCUAACCCUAGCUGCGCCCUUGCGUCUCCUUCCCUUAGCGUCGUCGCCUCGCUUCACAUCCGCACCGGCCCCCCUCGCUCGUCGACCUCUCUGGCGACGGCAUGCUCGUCGCAUCAGGGAUCCUCCUCCUCCUCCUCCUCUCUCUCUCUCUCUCUCUCUCUCUCUCUCUCUCUCUCUCUCUCUCUCUCUCUCUCUCUCUCGACGAGGGUUCUCCUCAACGCCUUGCAGCCACAUGGACAAAUCCUCCAUGCCCGCCGGUGAUGGAAUCAUCCACACGCGCACCUCCAGGAUCUUACGCGUCCGCCGCCACGGGGAGGGGCUCCUGUGCCUCGAAGCGCGCCAUCCAGGGAGGCUACCAGCCGCCGGAGACUCCUCCGAGCAGGAUGGAUCCAGGGAGGGACGAAUCAAUGGAGAUCCAGAUGCAACGUCACCUCCUCGCACUGACGGUGAUGGAGCUCGUCCGGAUGCUAUGUCAGGUUUGUUCCUCGCUUCUUCUCAGCUUGAAUCCCCAGCCCACCCUUCGAUCACCAAAAAAAAAUCGUGCUCAAUUUCUCGAUUGGACUGCUAAACUGGGUGUGGAAUCGAUUUCUUCUGAAGGGCCUGAACGAUUUGUACACCUGAUUGCUCGAUUUCGAGUUAGAUUGUGCCCAGAGCUGCAGGGCUGGGUCAUGGUGGGCGAUAGGAGUUAGGUGCUGAUGUUGUGUGCCAAGCAUAUAGGGAUUUAAACCAGUUCGGCUGGACUUCUUGGCAGUGCUUCGUGGAUAGCAUGUGGAAAAUGACAGCAUCUUUAUGAGCUUGUGGUAUUGUGCGGAUUAUCAUCUGGGUUUGGACCUUGGAUUUCUCCUGCACCCUAAAUGUUCGAUGAAAUGUUGUAGCACAGUGCUCGUACUGCAAAUCCCAAAUUCUGGAUGCACUAACUUGUUCUUUGAACUGGGAAUAGCCUAGUUUUCUUUCUAUUAUACUCUACAUACUUCUUCUUUGAUUGAUUGCGGGAAUUAUAUUUAUGCAUGAGCAGGAAUAUAAUGAGGCCCUCAAUCGCACACUCUGGAGGAAACUAGAUUUGUAUGUUUACCUAUUCCCUCCGUCCUUUGAUGGUUUAGAUUAGACUUUCAGUACUGAAACAUUGAUGAGACUUUCGAAUUUUGAUUCUUAUGCAUUGGGGUCAGGUUAUCUAUUAUUUAUGUGCGAUGUGAUAUCUACUUUCUUAAUGUAAUUGUCCUUGUCUUAAUGGUGCUUGCUUGUAUUGAUACUUUGAAAGGUAGAUGAGCUGGAAAAGGCAAUCACAGUUGCAUCACGGGUCCAGUAUAAUAUGGACUUGAUGAAGUCGAGCUUUCUUCCCUAGUAUUGUGGACUAGAUAGAUUCAGUUAAACUUUUCUUCCCUAGUUUUGGAUGAUAUUAUUUUUCCUUCUUGUGGACUGAUAAAUGAGCUGUCUGCAUUUGGAUGAUAUUAUUUUCCCUAGUCUUGUGAAUUUUUUUUUUUGUUUCAGUCCAAUAAUUUCUGCAUUUGGAGCUGUGAACUUCUCAAUAAAGCAAAGGUAAAUAGACUACUUUUUGUAGAUUACCUUGUAGCUAUUGACCUGGCAGCCAGAGAGCUCACUUCCCUGCAACUCCUCGACAAAGUAUCCUACCUAUCAUAUCUUGGCUUCUGUUUGUAGAUUACUUUGUUGCCUGAAAGUAUGUUAGCUAACAUAAAUUUUAACCUCCCUUAUUUUGCUGGAAAUCAAAUAACUUCACUUGCUAGCGUUACUGAACUAGCUACAAAAAUGUUAGAGCUCCAAAGGUUAUUACUAUUGUACUACCUAUUGAAAUUGUGCUAUUCUUCUCUUUAUGUUUACAUGUGCAGUAGAUUGACAUGCACAUAUUUGUUUCCUGGAGUCCAAAUCGAGAUAUGCUUGCAGCUAACCUCCCUAAAAGCAACCAGCGCUUGGCAGCAAUAGUGGUCACUGCUACAAGCUAUUUCUGGUGAAUUUGAUGGCUGCGAAGAUUGUCUAGAGUGGUCUGCUUCUUCCACAUACAUACUAUCAAGUUCCGGCGCAUCAAAAUGGUCAUCAUUUCAUCUUUUCACUGCUUCUGUUCUUGCGUCAGAUUUCAAAUCCUUUUUUAGGAAACAGCUUAGCCGUCUUUUCCCAUAUGUUUGAAGUAUUUUCCUACAGAUCUAGUUUGUGAGCGAAAGAACCAUAUAUUAUGCACUACAACAAUCUAAAAGCCCAUCAAUCUGUGCCAAGAAUCUGAAGUCGGAAAAGGCACAACUACUAAAGAUUUAGAAGUGAAGAUGCAAGAGUCAAAUUAGUGAAAUGAUUGCAAUCAGAACAAGCAAGCUGAAGUAGGAUUUAGAUAUUAGUGGUGCUGUACAAGGUUUAUGUGGAUAUAAAUGUUGUGUACAGUUUUGUUUCAGUUGAGAUUAAUGGGAAAAUGGAAAUGCAUGUUAAUUUUGAAUUUUAGAACGCAA